CCUACGGGAGGCUGCAGUGGGGGAUAUUGGACAAUGGGGGGAACCCUGAUCCAGCGACGCCGCGUGAGUGAAGAAGUAUUUCGGUAUGUAAAGCUCUAUCAGCAGGGAAGAAAAGAAUGACGGUACCUGAAUAAGAAGCACCGGCUAACUACGUGCCAGCAGCCGCGGUAAUACGUAGGGGGCAAGCGUUAUCCGGAUUUACUGGGUGUAAAGGGAGCGCAGACGGCAAUGCAAGCCUGGAGUGAAAGGCGGGGGCCCAACCCCCGGACUGCUCGGGGAACUGUAUAGCUAGAGUGCAGAAGAGGCAAGUGGAAUUCCUGGUGUAGCGGUGAAAUGCGUAGAUAUCAGGAGGAACACCGGUGGCGAAGGCGGCCUGCUGGACUGCAACUGACGUUGAGGCCCGAAAGCGUGGGGAGCAAACAGGAUUAGAUACCCCUGUAGUC
rnacentral:rRNA from 1 species